UUGUGCUACACGGAGGGGGAAGGAUCUAAGCCUGACUGACAGCUGUGUGCAUAAAUCACACAGUACUGUCAGAGACCGGGAGAUGGGAGAAUUCAAACACGGAGGGCAGCAGGCAAUAAGCACUUCCAAUGAAACAAAGAAUUUCAGAGGAAGAAAAGCAGCCCAACUCCUCCGUACAGCAGACAUUGUUAGCAGCUGAGUAGAUGAGGGCUGGAUAUCUUCUGCCCUUCCAGCAACUUAACAAGCAUGGGAGGUGCAGUAUCUGGGGGUGCAAACUGAUCAGCCAGUUCGGGCAGAAGAGAUCCUUCCAUAAAGAAAGAACGGGAAAGUUACAUUUGUAGUAUAUGUGAUAGAGUUAAUAUUAAAAGUGUUUGCCAAUAAAAAUGAAUAAAAAGUAAAAAUGAAAACAAAA